rnacentral:rRNA from 1 species
UGAUUGUGAUAAUAAUCAGUAGAACCUGCUCAAUGAUUUUAAAUAGCCGCAGAUAUCUGUGCUAAGGUAGCAUAAUCACUUGCCUUUUAAUUAGAGGCUAGAAUGAAUGGUUUAACAUGUAAAUUAUUUUAUUAAAUAAAUUCCUUUACUUUUACUUUUAAGUAAAAAGGCUUAUAUUAUAAGAAGGACGACAAGACCCUGUCAAACUUUACAUUCUUGUUUAGCUGGGGCAGCAAAUAAACAACAUUUUUAUUUAAAUUUUUUAAUUUUCUAACUUUUUAAAUAACAAGUUACUGCAGGGAUAACAGCACAAUUUUCUUUUAAAGCUCUUAUUUUAAAGAAAGUUUGUGACCUCGAUGUUGAAUUAAAAAAUCUAUUUAAGGGCAAAUUCUUAAUAAGAAAGUCUGUUCGACUUUUAAAUUUUU